AGUGAACGCUGGCGGUAGGCCUAACACAUGCAAGUCGAACGGCAGCACAGUAAGAGCUUGCUCUUACGGGUGGCGAGUGGCGGACGGGUGAGGAAUACAUCGGAAUCUACUUUUUCGUGGGGGAUAACGUAGGGAAACUUACGCUAAUACCGCAUACGACCUACGGGUGAAAGCAGGGGAUCUUCGGACCUUGCGCGAUUGAAUGAGCCGAUGUCGGAUUAGCUAGUUGGCGGGAUAAAGGCCCACCAAGGCGACGAUCCGUAGCUGGUCUGAGAGGAUGAUCAGCCACACUGGAACUGAGACACGGUCCAGACUCCUACGGGAGGCAGCAGUGGGGAAUAUUGGACAAUGGGCGCAAGCCUGAUCCAGCCAUACCGCGUGGGUAAAGAAGGCCUUCGGGUUGUAAAGCCCUUUUGUUGGGAAAGAAAAGCAGCAGGUUAAUACCCCGCUGUUCUGACGGUACCCAAAGAAUAAGCACCGGCUAACUUCGUG
rnacentral:rRNA from 1 species